rnacentral:rRNA from 1 species
UGCAAGUCGAGGGGUAUUAGUUUUCGGACUAAGAGACCGGCGCACGGGUGCGUAACGCGUAUGCAAUCUACCUUUCACAGAGGGAUAGCCCAGAGAAAUUUGGAUUAAUACCUCAUAGCAUAGCAGCUUCGCAUGAAGCCACUUAUUAAAGUCACAACGGUGAAAGAUGAGCAUGCGUCCCAUUAGCUAGUUGGUAAGGUAACGGCUUACCAAGGCUACGAUGGGUAGGGGUCCUGAGAGGGAGAUCCCCCACACUGGUACUGAGACACGGACCAGACUCCUACGGGAGGCAGCAGUGAGGAAUAUUGGACAAUGGGCGCAAGCCUGAUCCAGCCAUGCCGCGUGCAGGAUGACGGUCCUAUGGAUUGUAAACUGCUUUUGUACGAGAAGAAACACUCCGACGUGUCGGAGCUUGACGGUAUCGUAAGAAUAAGGAUCGGCUAACUCCGUGCCAGCAGCCGCGGUAAUACGGAGGAUCCAAGCGUUAUCCGGAAUCAUUGGGUUUAAAGGGUCCGUAGGCGGUUUGGUAAGUCAGUGGUGAAAGCCCAUCGCUCAACGGUGGAACGGCCAUUGAUACUGCCAGACUUGAAUUAUUAGGAAGUAACUAGAAUAUGUAGUGUAGCGGUGAAAUGCUUAGAGAUUACAUGGAAUACCAAUUGCGAAGGCAGGUUACUACUAAUGGAUUGACGCUUGAUGGGACGAAAAGCGUGGGUAGCGACAGGAUUAGAUACCCCUGGGUAGUCCACGCCGUAAAACGAAUGGAUAACUAAGCUGGUUGGGGAGCAAAUCUCCA